AUGGACUCGGGGUUCCACCGCCCCCCCUACACCCUGGCUGGUCCAUGUGGCUGUGGGCAGGUUUAUGUCUGGGGGGGACCAGGGACUGUGUCCCUGUGCAAUACUUUAGAUCCCUGGGGCCAGGGGACCCUGGUCACCGUCUCCUCAGAGAGCGCAUCUUCCCCAAACCUCCUUCCCCUCGUGUCCUGUGAGAACUCCCUGUCCGAUGACAGCCAGGUGACUGUGGGCUGCCUGGCCAAGGACUUCCUGCCCGACCAAGUCACCUUCUCCUGGAAGUAUAAGAACACCAGUGCCAUUGGCAGCCAGGCCGUCCACAACUUCCCAUCGGUCCUGAGAGAGGGCAGGUACGCUGCCAGCUCCCAGCUGGUCCUGCCCUCUGCCGACAUCGCCCAGGGCACAGGCGAGUUUGUGACAUGCAAUGUCAAAUACUCCAACAUUAACAAAAAUGUGCCAGUGCCCAUCCAAGGGUCCAGGGAACUGCUGCCCCCCAGCGUGAGCAUCUUCAUCCCUCCCCGCGAUGCCUUCUCUGGCACCAGCCCCCGCAAGUCCAGGCUCAUUUGCCAGGCCACGGGCUUCAGCCCCAAGAAGAUCUCUGUGUCAUGGCUGCGGGAGGGAAGGCCACUGGACUCUGACUUCACCACAGGCAACGUGGAGGUUGAGAACAAAGUGUCUAGACCUGUGACCUACAGGGUCAGCAGCACGCUGACCAUCACCAAGAGCGACUGGCUCAGCCAGAGGGUGUACACCUGCCAAGUGGAGCACAAUGACAAGAGCUUCCAGAAGAACGUGUCAUCUGCGUGUAGCACUGGGGGAUCCAUCGACAUGAGAAUCUUCACCAUCCCCCCACCCUUCGCCAGCAUCUUCCUCACCAAGAUGGCGAAACUGUCCUGCCUGGUCACAGACCUGGCCACCUAUGACAGCCUGACCAUCUCCUGGACCCGCCAAAAUGGCCAGGAGCUGAAAACCCACACCAACAUCUCUGAGAGCCACCCCAAUGCCACCUUCAGUGCUGUAGGGGAGGCCACCGUGUGCGUGGAGGAAUGGGAGUCCGGAGAGAAGUUCACGUGCACAGUGACCCACACAGACCUGCCCUCCCCACUGAGGCAGACCAUCUUCAGGCCCAAGGAAGUCGCCAAGCACAUGCCCUCUGUGUACGUGCUGCCGCCCACCAGGGAGCAGCUGAGCCUCCGGGAGUCAGCCUCUGUCACCUGCCUGGUGAAGGGCUUCUCGCCCCCAGACGUGUUUGUGCAGUGGAUGCAGAGAGGGCAGCUCGUGCCCUCCGAUAUGUAUGUGACCAGCGCCCCGCUGCCCGAGCCCCGGGCCCCAGGCCUGUACUUCGCCCACAGCAUCCUGACCGUGACCGAGGAGGACUGGAGUGCAGGAGACACCUACACCUGCAUCGUGGCCCAUGAGGCCCUGCCCCACGCGGUGACCGAGAGGACCGUGGACAAGUCCACCGAGGGGGAGGUGAGCGCCGAGGAGGAGGGCUUCGAGAACCUGAACACCACGGCCUCCACCUUCAUCGUCCUCUUCCUGCUCAGCCUCUUCUACAGCACCACAGUCACCCUGUUCAAGGUGAAGUGA